rnacentral:rRNA from 1 species
UAGGGAAUCUUCGGCAAUGGACGAAAGUCUGACCGAGCAACGCCGCGCGAGUGAAGAAGGUUUUCGGAUCGUAAAACUCUGUUGUUAGAGAAGAACAAGGACGUUAGUAACUGAACGUCCCCUGACGGUAUCUAACCAGAAAGCCACGGCUAACUACGUGCCAGCAGCCGCGGUAAUACGUAGGUGGCAAGCGUUGUCCGGAUUUAUUGGGCGUAAAGCGAGCGCAGGCGGUUUCUUAAAUCUGAUGUGAAAGCCCCCGGCUCAACCGGGGAGGGUCAUUGGAAACUGGGAGACUGGAGUGCAGAAGAGGAGAGUGGAAUUCCAUGUGUAGCGGUGAAAUGCGUAGAUAUAUGGAGGAACACCAGUGGCGAAGGCGGCUCUCUGGUCUGUAACUGACGCUGAGGCUCGAAAGCGUGGGGAGCAAACAGG